rnacentral:lncRNA from 1 species
AAUGAUCCAAUGUAAACAGCAAAAUUCAAACUAGAAUCCCAGCAUCAAGAGUAUGAAUCGUUCGGAUUCAAUUUAAUCACAUACCACAGGGCAAAGUAUUUACAAACACUCUUAAAUUUUUAGACCAAAAUGAUAGCCAUUGAAAUGGCUAAAACGCCCUUGACAGCUUUACUGAAAAGCUACUAUGUCCACACACUACACCAAAACUUAAAACAUGACCAAUUCGUCCAAAUAUUACACCACAGUUUAAUAAUCAUUCUAUCUCAAUUCUACACCAGCACUU